CUCACAAUUGACAGCAUUGAAGCUAAAAAGGGGUAGGCUAGUGUCGUGGUAAGGCACGUUGGAUGGUUCGAUUCUACUGGCCUUUUUGCUUGGUUGAGGGGCGGUAGCUGAGGGGCGGUCCUGAAUCUGUAGGCUCUCUGAACAUUUUAAACACAGCAAUCUUCCUUCCUUGACUUUCAACCGAACAGUGAUUACUUCCAAGCCUAGAGAGGUAGAUAAAGAUAAUUCGUACCAGGCCCUAUACUUCUAAAUAUCACGUGAUUUUGGCGCGACACCGGCAGCCAGAAAGUCGGGAUGAGACGUUUUCCGUUUGUUGACAUUGUUAUGGUUCAGUUUUGUUGAACUAUGCCUAAAGCUGCAAACCAUCUUGACAGAUGCCGUCUCUGCGACCAAAAUCUAAGGAUAUUUGGUACGCUCCAACAUGUGCGUUCCCUUGUGUCAAAGUCGAAUUGUACCAUUCUGACUAGGUUAUCAUCACUCGGCAUAAACCUGACACUGCACGAAGAUACAUCGACAAUUAUAUGUCAGAAGUGUUUUCGUAACAUUUGUAAGGUUGAAAAGACCAUGCAUGUGUUACAUGCAUGGAAAGCUACAACGCAAACACCGGCGUUUGGAACUCCCGGGGAAGAAGUUAUCAAGUCCCAACAAGGCCCAGUAGAGACCGGAAGAGAUGAUACCAAGACCAGGUGUUUUAACUGUGAUUCCUUGAAUGAGGUACCCGAGAAGAAACGUCAACGGGAAGAAAGCCCACCAACUACAGGCAGGGGUGCCAAGAAGAGAUGCAAUGCCUCUACAAAAUCCCCAGAGAAGAACAUUAUGGUUGAGGUUGUCAUUACAUACAACCCAAAAUUGAGUCAUCCAAAACCAGGAGUCGGUUCCCCUGACAACAAGGGAAGGACGUGGAAACAGAAGAGGAAGGGGGGCGCCAGAGACAAGGACAACUUUGACAGUUUUUCAAAAUGGUAG
rnacentral:lncRNA from 13 species